GUAAUGGUGUCUUUAGACACCACCUUUGUAUUUUAAAAUGUAUUC
rfam:Picea glauca, whole genome shotgun sequence.